rnacentral:tRNA from 1 species
AGUGGUGUAGCUCAGACAGGUAGAGCACUCAAAUCAUUUUUGAGAGGUCGUGGGUUCAAAUCCUACCAUCACUACCA